GUGGGGAAUAUUGGACAAUGGGCGCAAGCCUGAUCCAGCCAUGCCGCGUGUGUGAAGAAGGCCUUUUGGUUGUAAAGCACUUUAAGCGAGGAGGAGGCUCCUUUAGUUAAUACCUAAAGAGAGUGGACGUUACUCGCAGAAUAAGCACCGGCUAACUCUGUGCCAGCAGCCGCGGUAAUACAGAGGGUGCGAGCGUUAAUCGGAUUUACUGGGCGUAAAGCGUGCGUAGGCGGCUUUUUAAGUCGGAUGUGAAAUCCCUGAGCUUAACUUAGGAAUUGCAUUCGAUACUGGAAAGCUAGAGUAUGGGAGAGGAUGGUAGAAUUCCAGGUGUAGCGGUGAAAUGCGUAGAGAUCUGGAGGAAUACCGAUGGCGAAGGCAGCCAUCUGGCCUAAUACUGACGCUGAGGUACGAAAGCAUGGGGAGCAAACAGGAUUAGAUACCCCGGUAGUCC
rnacentral:rRNA from 1 species